rnacentral:rRNA from 1 species
ACGCUGGCGGCAGGCCUAACACAUGCAAGUCGAGCGGCAACACAGGUACUUGUACCGGGUGGCGAGCGGCGGACGGGUGAGUAAUGCCUAGGAAUCUGCCUGGUAGUGGGGGAUAACGUUCGGAAACGGACGCUAAUACCGCAUACGUCCUACGGGAGAAAGUGGGGGAUCUUCGGACCUCACGCUAUCAGAUGAGCCUAGGUCGGAUUAGCUAGUUGGUGAGGUAAUGGCUCACCAAGGCGACGAUCCGUAACUGGUCUGAGAGGAUGAUCAGUCACACUGGAACUGAGACACGGUCCAGACUCCUACGGGAGGCAGCAGUGGGGAAUAUUGGACAAUGGGCGAAAGCCUGAUCCAGCCAUGCCGCGUGUGUGAAGAAGGUCUUCGGAUUGUAAAGCGCUUUAAGUUGGGAGGAAGGGCAUCAACCUAAUACGUUGAUUGUUUUGACGUUACCGACAGAAUAAGCACCGGCUAACUCUGUGCCAGCAGCCGCGGUAAUACAGAGGGUGCAAGCGUUAAUCGGAAUUACUGGGCGUAAAGCGCGCGUAGGUGGUUAGUUAAGUUGGAUGUGAAAUCCCCGGGCUCAACCUGGGAACUGCAUUCAAAACUGACUGACUAGAGUAUGGUAGAGGGUGGUGGAAUUUCCUGUGUAGCGGUGAAAUGCGUAGAUAUAGGAAGGAACACCAGUGGCGAAGGCGACCACCUGGACUGAUACUGACACUGAGGUGCGAAAGCGUGGGGAGCAAAC